GAUGAACGCUAGCGGCAGGCUUAAUACAUGCAAGUCGAACGGGAUUCAGGGUAGCAAUACUUUGAUGAGAGUGGCGCACGGGUGCGUAACGCGUAUGCAACCUACCUUUAACAGGGGAAUAGCCCCGAGAAAUCGGGAUUAAUACUCCGUAACAUUGCGGGAUGGCAUCAUUCUGCAAUUAAAGAUUUAUCGGUUAAAGAUGGGCAUGCGUGACAUUAGCUUGUUGGUGAGGUAACGGCUCACCAAGGCAACGAUGUCUAGGGGUCCUGAGAGGGUUAUCCCCCACACUGGUACUGAGACACGGACCAGACUUCUACGGGAGGCAGCAGUAAGGAAUAUUGGUCAAUGGGGCGCAAGCCUGAACCAGCCAUGCCGCGUGCAGGAAGACGGCCCUAUGGGGUUGUAAACUGCUUUUUGUCAGGGAAUAAACCUGUCUACGUGUAGACAGCUGAAGGUACCUGAAGAAUAAGCAUCGGCUAACUCCGUGCCAGCAGCCGCGGUAAU
rnacentral:rRNA from 1 species